rnacentral:rRNA from 1 species
CCUACGGGAGGCUGCAGUGGGGAAUAUUGCACAAUGGGGGAAACCCUGAUGCAGCGACGCCGCGUGAGCGAAGAAGUAUUUCGGUAUGUAAAGCUCUAUCAGCAGGGAAGAAAAUGACGGUACCUGAGUAAGAAGCUCCGGCUAAAUACGUGCCAGCAGCCGCGGUAAUACGUAUGGAGCAAGCGUUAUCCGGAUUUACUGGGUGUAAAGGGAGCGCAGGCGGUAUGGCAAGUCAGAUGUGAAAACCCAGGGCCCAACCCUGGGACUGCAUUUGAAACUGCCAUACUGGAGUGCCGGAGAGGUAAGUGGAAUUCCUAGUGUAGCGGUGAAAUGCGUAGAUAUUAGGAGGAACACCAGUGGCGAAGGCGGCUUACUGGACGGUAACUGACGCUGAGGCUCGAAAGCGUGGGGAGCAAACAGGAUUAGAUACCCCUGUAGUC